rnacentral:lncRNA from 1 species
UUUUUCGACGGUUUAAACUUUUGUUGUUGAUCGGAAAGUAAAACUUUUGUUUUGAUACAACAAGAGCAUGACAGGAUGAAUGUGGGAAGUAUAGACAAAUAUCAAAAUAUUACUCUUGCUUAAAAAAUUCAAGCCACCAUCCAGAAUCUACAAAGUCCCUAUUGUUUCUCUGACAUGGUGCUAUAUAUCGUCAACCGGCAGUUUCAUGCGUCUCUUAUUUCAGACUCGUCUGUGGUUAAUUUGAAGAGCUUUCAAGAGAGAUUAAAUCAUACGGAGGCAAUCAAUCUAACGUCCGUCUCCUACAAAUACAAACCGGCAAAAACAGAGGAUGGAGGACUCGUGGAAGAAGUGGGUGGGUGACAGGAAAUUGUACCGUGGUGAAGAGGAGAAAUGCCCUCCUCCACAUGUCUCGGCCCUUCCGAUUCAGACAUUGUUUUUGCCCUCCUCCUUGUCCUGCAGCAGGGUCGUCAAUUCAUCUGAGAUCGAUUCCGAACAAAAAAGGGACCUCGAACCGAUCGAGUUUGGAUUAUAACGUGGGGGCAGUUAGGAACAGCCACCUACUUUUUAGCAGCGUUGAUGGUCAGGGGAAAACGAGGCCUUCGCGCCACCCCGAGCUUAUCGUCGACUAAAAGAAGGGAAUGGCAAUGGUUGAAACCCGUCUUGCCACAUGUCCCUCUUGUCACCGGCUGGAUGAAUUCAGGCUCCACCUGCUUUUACUCAACACUUCCUGGAAUCCCGCUUCCAGUUC